AGCGUACACGGUGGAUGCCCUGGCAGUCAGAGGCGAUGAAGGACGUGCUAAUCUGCGAAAAGCGUCGGUAAGGUGAUAUGAACCGUUACAGCCGGCGAUGUCCGAAUGGGGAAACCCAGUGCAAUUCGUUGCACUAUCGUUAACUGAAUACAUAGGUUAACGAGGCGAACCGGGGGAACUGAAACAUCUAAGUACCCCGAGGAAAAGAAAUCAACCGAGAUUCCCCCAGUAGCGGCGAGCGAACGGGGAGCAGCCCAGAGUCUGAAUCAGCUUGUGUGUUAGUGGAACGGUCUGGAAAGUCCGACGGUACAGGGUGAUAGUCCCGUACACCAAAAUGCACAGGCUGUGAACUCGAAGAGUAGGGCGGGACACGUGGUAUCCUGUCUGAAUAUGGGGGGACCAUCCUCCAAGGCUAAAUACUCCUGACUGACCGAUAGUGAACCAGUACCGUGAGGGAAAGGCGAAAAGAACCCCGGCGAGGGGAGUGAAAAAGAACCUGAAACCGUGUACGUACAAGCAGUGGGAGCACCUUCGGGUGUGACUGCGUACCUUUUGUAUAAUGGGUCAGCGACUUAUAUUCUGUAGCAAGGUUAACCGUAUAGGGGAGCCGCAGGGAAACCGAGUCUUAACUGGGCGUUAAGUUGCAGGGUAUAGACCCGAAACCCGGUGAUCUAGCCAUGGGCAGGUUGAAGGUUGGGUAACACUAACUGGAGGACCGAACCGACUAAUGUUGAAAAAUUAGCGGAUGACUUGUGGCUGGGGGUGAAAGGCCAAUCAAACCGGGAGAUAGCUGGUUCUCCCCGAAAGCUAUUUAGGUAGCGCCUCGUGAACUCAUCUUCGGGGGUAGAGCACUGUUUCGGCUAGGGGGUCAUCCCGACUUACCAACCCGAUGCAAACUACGAAUACCGAAGAAUGUUAUCACGGGAGACACACGGCGGGUGCUAACGUCCGUCGUGAAGAGGGAAACAACCCAGACCGCCAGCUAAGGUCCCAAAGUCAUGGUUAAGUGGGAAACGAUGUGGGAAGGCACAGACAGCCAGGAUGUUGGCUUAGAAGCAGCCAUCAUUUAAAGAAAGCGUAAUAGCUCACUGGUCGAGUCGGCCUGCGCGGAAGAUGUAACGGGGCUAAACCAUGCACCGAAGCUGCGGCAGCGACACUAUGUGUUGUUGGGUAGGGGAGCGUUCUGUAAGCCUGCGAAGGUGUGCUGUGAGGCAUGCUGGAGGUAUCAGAAGUGCGAAUGCUGACAUAAGUAACGAUAAAGCGGGUGAAAAGCCCGCUCGCCGGAAGACCAAGGGUUCCUGUCCAACGUUAAUCGGGGCAGGGUGAGUCGACCCCUAAGGCGAGGCCGAAAGGCGUAGUCGAUGGGAAACAGGUUAAUAUUCCUGUACUUGGUGUUACUGCGAAGGGGGGACGGAGAAGGCUAUGUUAGCCGGGCGACGGUUGUCCCGGUUUAAGCAUGUAGGCUGGUUGUCCAGGCAAAUCCGGAUAAUCAAGGCUGAGGUGUGAUGACGAGGCACUACGGUGCUGAAGUAACAAAUGCCCUGCUUCCAGGAAAAGCCUCUAAGCAUCAGGUAACAUUAAAUCGUACCCCAAACCGACACAGGUGGUCAGGUAGAGAAUACCAAGGCGCUUGAGAGAACUCGGGUGAAGGAACUAGGCAAAAUGGUGCCGUAACUUCGGGAGAAGGCACGCUGGUGUGUAGGUGAAGUCCCUGCGGAUGGAGCUGAGACCAGUCGAAGAUACCAGCUGGCUGCAACUGUUUAUUAAAAACACAGCACUGUGCAAACACGAAAGUGGACGUAUACGGUGUGACGCCUGCCCGGUGCCGGAAGGUUAAUUGAUGGGGUUAUCCGUAAGGAGAAGCUCUUGAUCGAAGCCCCGGUAAACGGCGGCCGUAACUAUAACGGUCCUAAGGUAGCGAAAUUCCUUGUCGGGUAAGUUCCGACCUGCACGAAUGGCGUAAUGAUGGCCAGGCUGUCUCCACCCGAGACUCAGUGAAAUUGAACUCGCUGUGAAGAUGCAGUGUACCCGCGGCAAGACGGAAAGACCCCGUGAACCUUUACUAUAGCUUGACACUGAACAUUGAGCCUUGAUGUGUAGGAUAGGUGGGAGGCUUUGAAGCGUGGACGCCAGUCUGCGUGGAGCCAACCUUGAAAUACCACCCUUUAAUGUUUGAUGUUCUAACGUUGGCCCCUGACCGGGGUUGCGGACAGUGUCUGGUGGGUAGUUUGACUGGGGCGGUCUCCUCCCAAAGCGUAACGGAGGAGCACGAAGGUUAGCUAAUCCUGGUCGGACAUCAGGAGGUUAGUGCAAUGGCAUAAGCUAGCUUGACUGCGAGCGUGACGGCGCGAGCAGGUGCGAAAGCAGGUCAUAGUGAUCCGGUGGUUCUGAAUGGAAGGGCCAUCGCUCAACGGAUAAAAGGUACUCCGGGGAUAACAGGCUGAUACCGCCCAAGAGUUCAUAUCGACGGCGGUGUUUGGCACCUCGAUGUCGGCUCAUCACAUCCUGGGGCUGAAGUAGGUCCCAAGGGUAUGGCUGUUCGCCAUUUAAAGUGGUACGCGAGCUGGGUUUAGAACGUCGUGAGACAGUUCGGUCCCUAUCUGCCGUGGGCGCUGGAGAAUUGAGGGGGGCUGCUCCUAGUACGAGAGGACCGGAGUGGACGCAUCACUGGUGUUCGGGUUGUCAUGCCAAUGGCACUGCCCGGUAGCUAAAUGCGGAAGAGAUAAGUGCUGAAAGCAUCUAAGCACGAAACUUGCCCCGAGAUGAGUUCU
rnacentral:rRNA from 1 species